UACGUGGGGCACAAGCGUUAUCCGGAUUUACUGGGCGUAAAGAGAUGCGUAGGCGUUUUGAAAAGUUCUAUGUUAAAGCCUAAGGCUCAACCUUAGAAUCGCGUAGAAAACUUUCAGAAUUGAGUUGGGUAGAGAAGAGGGGAAUUUCUGGUGGAGCAGUUAAAUGCGUUGAUAUCAGAAGGAAUACCGAAGGCGAAGGCACCUCUUUGGACCUUAACUGACGCUAAGGCUCGAAAGCGUGGGGAGCAAAACGG
rnacentral:rRNA from 1 species